rnacentral:rRNA from 1 species
UGUGAACUCGAAGAGUAGGGCGGGACACGUGGUAUCCUGUCUGAAUAUGGGGGGACCAUCCUCCAAGGCUAAAUACUCCUGACUGACCGAUAGUGAACCAGUACCGUGAGGGAAAGGCGAAAAGAACCCCGGCGAGGGGAGUGAAAAAGAACCUGAAACCGUGUACGUACAAGCAGUGGGAGCACCUUCGGGUGUGACUGCGUACCUUUUGUAUAAUGGGUCAGCGACUUAUAUUCUGUAGCAAGGUUAACCGUAUAGGGGAGCCGCAGGGAAACCGAGUCUUAACUGGGCGUUAAGUUGCAGGGUAUAGACCCGAAACCCGGUGAUCUAGCCAUGGGCAGGUUGAAGGUUGGGUAACACUAACUGGAGGACCGAACCGACUAAUGUUGAAAAAUUAGCGGAUGACUUGUGGCUGGGGGUGAAAGGCCAAUCAAACCGGGAGAUAGCUGGUUCUCCCCGAAAGCUAUUUAGGUAGCGCCUCGUGAACUCAUCUUCGGGGGUAGAGCACUGUUUCGGCUAGGGGGUCAUCCCGACUUACCAACCCGAUGCAAACUACGAAUACCGAAGAAUGUUAUCACGGGAGACACACGGCGGGUGCUAACGUCCGUCGUGAAGAGGGAAACAACCCAGACCGCCAGCUAAGGUCCCAAAGUCAUGGUUAAGUGGGAAACGAUGUGGGAAGGCACAGACAGCCAGGAUGUUGGC